GAGGUUGUGGCUCAGUGGUAGAGUGUUUGCCUAGCAUGCAUAAGGCACUGGGUUCAAUCCUCAGCACCACA
rnacentral:tRNA from 1 species